rnacentral:rRNA from 1 species
UACGUAGGGUGCGAGCGUUAAUCGGAAUUACUGGGCGUAAAGCGUGCGCAGGCGGUUCGUUAAGUUCGUUGUGAAAGCCCCGGGCUCAACCUGGGAACUGCAAUGGAAACUGGCGGGCUUGAAUGCGGCAGAGGGGGGUGGGAAUUCCUGGUGUAGCGGUGAAAUGCGCAGAUAUCAGGAGGAACACCGAUGGCGAAGGCAGGUCUCUGGGCAUUAACUGACGCUGAGGAGCGAAAGCAUGGGGAGCGAACAGG